GGGUUGUGAGGUUAAGCGACUAAGCGUACACGGUGGAUGCCUAGGCAGUCAGAGGCGAUGAAGGGCGUGCUAAUCUGCGAUAAGCGUCGGUAAGCUGAUAUGAAGCGUUAUACCCGACGAUACCCGAAUGGGGAAACCCAGUGUGUUUCGACACACUAUCAUUAUGUGAAUACAUAGCGUAAUGAGGCGAACCGGGGGAACUGAAACAUCUCAGUACCCCGAGGAAAAGAAAUCAACCGAGAUUCCCCCAGUAGCGGCGAGCGAACGGGGAGGAGCCCAGAACCUGAAUCAGUUUGUGUGUUAGUGGAAGCGUCUGGAAAGUCGCACAGUAAAGGGUGAUAGUCCCGUACACAAAAAUGCACAAGUUGUGAGUUCGAUGAGUAGGGCGGGACACGUGACAUCCUGUCUGAAUAUGGGGGGACCAUCCUCCAAGGCUAAAUACUCCUGACUGACCGAUAGUGAACCAGUACCGUGAGGGAAAGGCGAAAAGAACCCCGGCGAGGGGAGUGAAAUAGAACCUGAAACCGUGUACGUACAAGCAGUGGGAGCCUACUUGUUAGGUGACUGCGUACCUUUUGUAUAAUGGGUCAGCGACUUAUAUUCUGUAGCAAGGUUAACCGUAUAGGGGAGCCGCAGGGAAACCGAGUCUUAACUGGGCGUUAAGUUGCAGGGUAUAGACCCGAAACCCGGUGAUCUAGCCAUGGGCAGGUUGAAGGUUGGGUAACACUAACUGGAGGACCGAACCGACUAAUGUUGAAAAAUUAGCGGAUGACUUGUGGCUGGGGGUGAAAGGCCAAUCAAACCGGGAGAUAGCUGGUUCUCCCCGAAAGCUAUUUAGGUAGCGCCUCGUGAAUUCAUCUUCGGGGGUAGAGCACUGUUUCGGCUAGGGGGUCAUCCCGACUUACCAACCCGAUGCAAACUACGAAUACCGAAGAAUGUUAUCACGGGAGACACACGGCGGGUGCUAACGUUCGUCGUGAAGAGGGAAACAACCCAGACCGCCAGCUAAGGUCCCAAAGUCAUGGUUAAGUGGGAAACGAUGUGGGAAGGCAUAGACAGCCAGGAUGUUGGCUUAGAAGCAGCCAUCAUUUAAAGAAAGCGUAAUAGCUCACUGGUCGAGUCGGCCUGCGCGGAAGAUGUAACGGGGCUAAACCAUGCACCGAAGCUGCGGCAGCGACGCUUAGGCGUUGUUGGGUAGGGGAGCGUUCUGUAAGCCGUCGAAGGUGGCCUGUGAGGGCUGCUGGAGGUAUCAGAAGUGCGAAUGCUGACAUAAGUAACGAUAAUGCGGGUGAAAAACCCGCACGCCGGAAGACCAAGGGUUCCUGUCCAACGUUAAUCGGGGCAGGGUGAGUCGACCCCUAAGGCGAGGCUGAAAAGCGUAGUCGAUGGGAAACAGGUUAAUAUUCCUGUACUCGGUGUUACUGCGAAGGGGGGACGGAGAAAGCUAGGUUAUCCGGGCGACGGUUGUCCCGGUUUAAGCGUGAAGGUGGAUGACUUUGGUAAAUCCGGGUCGUCAUUAACACUGAGGCGUGAUGACGAGUCACUACGGUGAUGAAGUAACCAAUGCUACGCUUCCAGGAAAAGCCUCUAAGCUCCAGGUAACAUCAAAUCGUACCCCAAACCGACACAGGUGGUCAGGUAGAGAAUACUCAGGCGCUUGAGAGAACUCGGGUGAAGGAACUAGGCAAAAUGGUGCCGUAACUUCGGGAGAAGGCACGCUGAUGGUAGGUGAAGUGACUUGCUCAUGGAGCUGAAAUCAGUCGAAGAUACCAGCUGGCUGCAACUGUUUAAUAAAAACACAGCACUGUGCAAACACGAAAGUGGACGUAUACGGUGUGACGCCUGCCCGGUGCCGGAAGGUUAAUUGAUGGGGUCAGCCGCAAGGCGAAGCUCUUGAUCGAAGCCCCGGUAAACGGCGGCCGUAACUAUAACGGUCCUAAGGUAGCGAAAUUCCUUGUCGGGUAAGUUCCGACCUGCACGAAUGGCGUAAUGAUGGCCAGGCUGUCUCCACCCGAGACUCAGUGAAAUUGAACUCGCUGUGAAGAUGCAGUGUACCCGCGGCAAGACGGAAAGACCCCGUGAACCUUUACUAUAGCUUGACACUGAACCUUGAGCCUUGAUGUGUAGGAUAGGUGGGAGGCUUUGAAGCGUGGACGCCAGUCUGCGUGGAGCCAACCUUGAAAUACCACCCUUUAAUGUUUGAUGUUCUAACGUGGACCCGUAAUCCGGGUUGCGGACAGUGUCUGGUGGGUAGUUUGACUGGGGCGGUCUCCUCCCAAAGCGUAACGGAGGAGCACGAAGGUUAGCUAAUCCUGGUCGGACAUCAGGAGGUUAGUGCAAAGGCAUAAGCUAGCUUGACUGCGAGAGUGACAGCUCGAGCAGGUGCGAAAGCAGGUCUUAGUGAUCCGGUGGUUCUGAAUGGAAGGGCCAUCGCUCAACGGAUAAAAGGUACUCCGGGGAUAACAGGCUGAUACCGCCCAAGAGUUCAUAUCGACGGCGGUGUUUGGCACCUCGAUGUCGGCUCAUCACAUCCUGGGGCUGAAGUAGGUCCCAAGGGUAUGGCUGUUCGCCAUUUAAAGUGGUACGCGAGCUGGGUUUAGAACGUCGUGAGACAGUUCGGUCCCUAUCUGCCGUGGGCGUUGGAAGAUUGAGAGGGGUUGCUCCUAGUACGAGAGGACCGGAGUGAACGCACCACUGGUGUACGGGUUGUGAUGCCAAUUGCAUUGCCCGGUAGCUAAGUGCGGAAGAGAUAACCGCUGAAAGCAUCUAAGCGGGAAACUUGCCUCGAGAUGAGUCUUCCCUGGACACUUGAUGUCCCUGAAGGGCCGUUGAAGACGACGACGUAGAUAGGCUGGGUGUGUAAGCGUAGCGAUACGUUGAGCUAACCAGUACUAAUGACCCGAGAGGCUUAACCUUACAACACCGAAGGUGUUU
rnacentral:rRNA from 1 species